UAGUUUACUAAGCACCAAUUUUCACUUGAAGUGGAGCUUAGUUUUCUGGACAUUUUCUAUUUCUUUGGUGCAUAUAUAUAUUUAUAUUCUUAUAACUGCUUGAGGCAGAUUUGUACCAUAGGAGAAAAAAAAUCUUCUUUGUCCUCUCAUUCCUUCAUCAUUUUGAGUUCUUAAGGACUUGAUUGUACUCUACCUUCUACAUAGUGAAUUUGCUCACCAUUAUCCGUGAUUUUUUCUGACUUGAGUUUUCCACGUUAAAUUGUGUGUCAUUUGUUGUGUUUCCAGAUUUA
rnacentral:lncRNA from 1 species